rnacentral:rRNA from 1 species
GCAGGCUGAAAUUACGCCUGCAUGAAGCCGGAAUUGCUAGUAAUGGCAGGUCAGCAUACUGCCGUGAAUACGUUCCCGGGCCUUGUACACACCGCCCGUCACACCAUAAGAGUUGGGAAUACCCGAAGCCUGUGAGCUAACUAUUUAUAGAGGCAGCAGUCGAAGGUAGAAUCAAUGAUUGGGGUGAAGUCGUAACAAGGUAUC